GAUGAACGCUGGCGGCGUGCCUAAUACAUGCAAGUCGAGCGAACGGACGAGAAGCUUGCUUCUCUGAUGUUAGCGGCGGACGGGUGAGUAACACGUGGAUAACCUACCUAUAAGACUGGGAUAACUUUGGGAAACCGGAGCUAAUACCGGAUAAUAUUUUGAACCGCAUGGUUCAAAAGUGAAAGACGGUCUUGCUGUCACUUAUAGAUGGAUCCGCGCUGCAUUAGCUAGUUGGUAAGGUAACGGCUUACCAAGGCAACGAUGCAUAGCCGACCUGAGAGGGUGAUCGGCCACACUGGAACUGAGACACGGUCCAGACUCCUACGGGAGGCAGCAGUAGGGAAUCUUCCGCAAUGGGCGAAAGCCUGACGGAGCAACGCCGCGUGAGUGAUGAAGGUCUUCGGAUCGUAAAACUCUGUUAUUAGGGAAGAACAUAUGUGUAAGUAACUGUGCACAUCUUGACGGUACCUAAUCAGAAAGCCACGGCUAACUACGUG
rnacentral:rRNA from 1 species